rnacentral:rRNA from 1 species
UACGUAGGGUGCGAGCGUUGUCCGGAAUUACUGGGCGUAAAGCGUGCGCAGGCGGUUUGUUAAGUCUGCUGUGAAAUCCCCGAGCUCAACUUGGGAAUUGCAGUGGAUACUGGCAAGCUGGAGUACGGUAGAGGAAGGUGGAAUUCCCGGUGUAGCAGUGAAAUGCGUAGAGAUCGGGAGGAACACCAGUGGCGAAGGCGGCCUUCUGGACCAGUACUGACGCUCAUGCACGAAAGCGUGGGGAGCAAACAGG